UACGGAGAGUGCGAGCGUUGUUCGGAAUUACUGGGCGUAAAGCGCGUGUAGGCGGUUCAGCAAGUCCGGCGUGAAAGGCAGGGGCUCAACCCUUGGAGUGCGCUGGAAACUGCGGGACUGGAGUAUCGAAGGGGGAAGUGGAACUCCGAGUGUAGAGGUGAAAUUCGUAGAUAUUCGGAAGAACACCGGUGGCGAAGGCGACUUCCUGGUCGAAUACUGACGCUGAGACGCGAAAGCGUGGGGAGCAAACAGGAUUAGAUACCCUGGUAGUCCACGCUGUAAACGAUGAGCACUAGCUGUGGGUGGUUUAACUCCAUCUGUGGCGUAGCUAACGCGAUAAGUGCUCCGCCUGGGGAUUACGGCCGCAAGGCUA
rnacentral:rRNA from 1 species